AGCUACUUUUAUCGAAGAUGUCACCAGAAGACAACUCUGUUUAUUGUAAGACCUAUUACUUUACUAUGAUUUUACAAAAGAGAAUAUUUAUUAAAAUAAAAGGAUAUCGAUAUAAGCACUAUAAACAUACAGACGAUAUAUUCAUUGAAAAAAAAAACACUUAAAGCAUUGUUUCAUGCGUUUGUCUUAACAGUGAUAGAACAUGUCGUAUGCUUUUAAAAAUAGAAUAGCCUCCUGUAAUUAUACUAAAGAGAUGAGUAGUCGAUGAUUCCUGUACACUUACAUUCUUUGUUUAUCGCGCUAGGUGACCUUGCUUAAUCCUACUAGGAAGUAAAUACCUCUCAGAGCAGAAGCCAAUUUUUAUCAGCUAUUGAAAGAAAAUAUGGCGGCUUCACAUUGCUAGGAAGUGUUAUCGUAGAUGUAAGAACUGAAAAGUACAGGUUUCAGACUGGGUCUAGGAGAUCUAAUCAGAUCAUCUCUGAAAUAUUUAGACUGAUUAUCGUGUAACUUUAUUAAUAUUUCAACGCCUGGCCAUUUUCAAUUAUACGAUACCCGAUGGACAAGGUAUAGUUUUAGUUGUCACGAGACAAGAUACGAGUCUCAAUUUAAAGCAACGUACCCACCUAUGAUUGUGUUGGAUAAACACCACAUGUUCUAUACGUGUUGAUGCAAAAUAACUUUCUUUGUAGUUGGAUCUAAAUACAGCACAAACAACAUGAACAACAGUGGUAUAUAAACAUAUAAUUUGUCUAAAACAUCAACCCAAAAAUGUUAGAUCUGUAAAUUUGCGUUAGCAAACGUUUUGUUCUUCCCUCGCCGGGAUUCGAACUCAUGUUACUGAUAUUUCGUGGCACCAAAUCGCAUUGUACUCAGACCAACGCGCUAAACCACUUAAACAACUAUAUAUAUGAAUAUAUAUAUAUGUCAAUGGUUCUUACCAAUGACAACAAAGCAAAUUCAAUGCAGCAAUGUAAUACUGGUAUUUCUGUGUAUAACGCUGAUAUCAGAUAUUGAAUAGGUUUUGGAUUCUGUAUUUUAUGCAAACAUUUCUCAGCUUGUGGCUUUAUAAACUAACUUAGCUAUUUUAGAUUUUUCUGACGGACAUCCUGAGUACGAAUUUUUUGAUGGUAAUGUUGAGGGGGGAACAUAUCUUACUGUUCAGUUGAUAUAUGAUAACUUUCAAUAGGAAGGUGAAUACAUGUGUAUAGUAAGAGAGAAGACGUCUGAUCAGACAACAUGGACAGCUGACCCUGAAUAUAUAAAGUAUGCAAGUACGUAAACGACAAAAAAACGCUAUGACAUAUAAUUACAAUGAAAAUAAUUAAAAAGUAACAUAACAAAACAACGAAACUCUGUAGAAAAUUAAAAACGAAAAUUGUUGAAUCAUAUGGCAAAAUCAAAAGUUUAAACACAUUUAAUGAAUGGUUAACAGCUUACAUACUCAGAACUGGAUUUAGAGAUUUACAGGCGCUCAAAAUUCUACCAGACUGACAACAAUAAGUAAACAAAACACACAGUUAUGUGUUCAUCUAUUGUCAUAUUAAAUUCUAUUAACCAUACACAAUAUUCGAUAUCAACCCAUUUUGAAACCUUAUUUUGCACAUGAAAACACACAUAAACAUUUUUCGGUGACCUAAAGUGAUGAUUUAUGUGUCAUUCGGUCUCUUGAGUUGUCUCAUUGGUAAUCAAACAAUAACUUCUUUUUUAUAUGAAGGUAAGGGGACAAAAUGAGAUAUGAUUUAUGUAAUUAGUAAUUAGUUUUUUCGCAUUUUAACUCCGAUCUAAGAGAUUAAUUAAAAAAAAAAACAAUACGAAUUAUAAAAUGUCACAAAACGCUCUAACACUCGUAUAAUUUAUCGAAACAAGGCAUACAAACGAUAAAAACACGAAAUAAUUCAUACUACUAAUUUAGUAAUAAAUCAACUAUCAUGAAACUUUUCAACAAAAGUUGGUAUUUUAACUGCCUUUUUUUAAAAUUAAAUCAUGUAUUAGAUUUGUAUACUUUAACAGUGUAAAUUCCUAUAUUUCAACUAAUUUGAUUUGUUCAUGGAUGGUCACAAGUUAGAUAUUUUUGACGGGAGACAGAAAACAGCGGAUGACAAAAGCGAUAUUGCACGGUUGAAAUAUCGAAAAAAAUAUUUACUUUAAUACGCCAUGUAAUGAAUAGCAUGAUGUUGUGACAGUUUUUAAAACGUGUAAAUUUAUAAUCGAUUAUUUGAAAAAAGAAACAACUUCAUAUACAGUUACGAUGCACUCAGAAAAAUACUAGAAAAAUUGUAAUAACAAUUCACUUGUUUUGAUUGUCAGAUAGGCAAUAAUAUAUCUAUCACGUUCCAACAAAAAUGAAAUGAGCGGAAAAAGAGAAUAUAAUUCACUGACGGUUUUCAUACAAAUAUGGUUGUAAAUGAUAUAACAAUUAUAACCUUUGUAUGAGAUCAAUACAGAAUAUAUCGACCCAAAGAGGUAUAUUGACCUCCGACUUCGUCAUCAGUCAAUCACCUUCUUACAGGUCAAUAUAUCCUUGUAUCGACCUAUAACCAGAUAACAAAGGCUAUAAUUUUAUAAUAUCAUAUCAUGAUUAAGACACAUGGUAGUUAAACAUUUGAUAAUUACUACAUCAUGUACAUAUAUUAUUUAUUAUUCCUUGUUUUUUUGCAGUUGAUACUGAAUAAUACGAAACUUCAGGAAGCCGAAUACCCAACUGAUGAUGCCAUCAAAACAUACAUGAAGUAGCCGCGCUUAACAAAUAUGUAUCAAUUUUUCAUUGUCUUUACAAGAAUAAAACCUGUAUCGACUUGUUGAAGUAUUGUUGUCUUUUAAAAAAAACAGACUUUGAUAUUUUAAGAUAUAACAUCUAAGUUAGUAUGAUAUUCUU
rnacentral:lncRNA from 1 species